rnacentral:rRNA from 1 species
UACAGAGGGGGCGAGCGUUGUUCGGAAUUACUGGGCGUAAAGGGCGCGUAGGCGGCCUCUUAAGUCGAACGUGAAAUCCCCGGGCUCAACCCGGGAACUGCGUCCGAUACUGGGAGGCUUGAAUCCGGGAGAGGGAUGUGGAAUUCCAGGUGUAGCGGUGAAAUGCGUAGAUAUCAGGAAGAACACCCGUGGCGAAGGCGGCUCUCUGGAACGCAACUGACGCUGAGACGCGAAAGCGUGGGGAGCAAACAGG